ACUCAAAUGAAUUGACGGGGACCCGCACAAGCGGUGGAGCAUGUGGUUUAAUUCGAUGCAACGCGAAGAACCUUACCUGGCCUUGACAUGUCGAGAAUCCCGAAGAGAUUUGGGAGUGCCGCAAGGAACUCGAACACAGGUGCUGCAUGGCUGUCGUCAGCUCGUGUCGUGAGAUGUUGGGUUAAGUCCCGCAACGAGCGCAACCCUUGUCCUUAGUUGCCAGCAUUUAGUUGGGCACUCUAAGGAGACCGCCGGUGACAAACCGGAGGAAGGUGGGGAUGACGUCAAGUCAUCAUGGCCUUUAUGGCCAGGGCUACACACGUGCUACAAUGGUAAGUACAGAGGGAAGCCAAGUCGCGAGACGGAGCCAAUCCCAGAAAACUUAUCGUAGUCCGGAUCGGAGUCUGCAACUCGACUCCGUGAAGUCGGAAUCGCUAGUAAUCGCAGAUCAGCAUUGCUGCGGUGAAUACGUUCCCGGGUCUUGCACACACCGCCCGU
rnacentral:rRNA from 1 species